AACAAUACCUCGCAAUACCUCGGGGUAGAUCCGAACCCUCUAGAAGGCUAACAUAGGAACUCCACUUCCUACUCAUACUCAAUACGUCCUCGUCGUACAUAACGGAAACAUGUCUCUCAAUUAUCCAAGCUUGGGUAUACAAGGAAAUCCAACCCUUUGGGCGGAUAGGUUGCAUAGCUAAAUUGAGAGGU
rfam:Anopheles gambiae M scf_1925491367 genomic scaffold, whole genome shotgun sequence.